GACGAACCGAGCGAACGUUGUUCGGAAUCACUGGGCUUAAAGGGCGCGUAGGCGGGCUGCCGCGUCCGGGGUGAAAUCCCACGGCUCAACCGUGGAACGGCCCCGGGUACGGGCGGCCUCGAGGGGGGUAGGGGCGUGCGGAACUGUGGGUGGAGCGGUGAAAUGCGCUGAGAUCCACAGGAACUCCGGUGGCGAAGGCGGCACGCUGGACCCCUUCUGACGCUGAGGCGCGAAAGCCAGGGGAGCGAACGGG
rnacentral:rRNA from 1 species